AGGAGCGACCAUAUCAGCACCAAUGCACCGGAUUCCAUCGGAACUUCGAAGUUAAGCGCUUGAGCGACAAUAGUUCUAAGAUGGGUUUGUCCUA
rnacentral:rRNA from 1 species